rnacentral:ncRNA from 2 species
UAAGUCCCGUAACGAGCGCAACCCUUGUCCUUUGUUGCCAGCACGUAAUGGUGGGAACUCAAAGGAGACUGCCGGUGACAAACCGGAGGAAGGUGGGGACGACGUCAAGUCAUCAUGGCCCUUACGUCCUGGGCUACACACGUGCUACAAUGGCAGGUACAGACGGUUGCGAGACCGCGAGGUGGAGCUAAUCCGAGAAAACCUGUCGUAGUCCGGAUCGGAGUCUGCAACUCGACUCCAUGAAGUCGGCAUCGCUAGUAAUCGUGAAUCAGAAUGUCACGGUGAAUACGUUCCCGGGCCUUGUACACACCGCCCGUCACACCAUGGGAGUGGGUUGCUCCAGAAGUGGCUAGUCUAACCUUUGGGAGGACGGUCACCACGGAGUGAUUCAUGACUGGGGUGAAGUCGUAACAAGGUAACCGUA